CCGCCCAGAGGUUGGCGGGGGCCCGGGGCAAAUUUUUUUUUAGGGGCCCCUAUCUAAAAAAAUUUUCCCGGAAAAUUUUUUUCCGGACAACAACCUCCCCCCCCCGUCGCCAAAAUAUUUUCGGUCAGUGUACCAUUUUAGGGGUAAAAAUUUUUUUCCGGAGUACAAAAUUUUUCCGGACGAGUACGUUGCAAUUGCUUUCGAGGGACUUUAUCUCAUUUUUUUAUGCCAAAAUUCGGUACUUAGCCCAAGAAAACAGAUAUCUUGUCC